rnacentral:rRNA from 1 species
UACGUAGGGUGCAAGCGUUGUCCGGAAUUAUUGGGCGUAAAGAGUUCGUAGGCGGUUUGUCGCGUCUGCCGUGAAAGUCCGGGGCUCAACUCCGGAUCUGCGGUGGGUACGGGCAGACUAGAGUGAUGUAGGGGAGACUGGAAUUCCUGGUGUAGCGGUGAAAUGCACAGAUAUCAGGAGGAACACCGAUGGCGAAGGCAGGUCUCUGGGCAUUAACUGACGCUGAGGAGCGAAAGCAUGGGGAGCGAACAGG